rnacentral:rRNA from 1 species
UGGGGAAUAUUGGACAAUGGGCGCAAGCCUGAUCCAGCCAUGCCGCGUGAGUGAUGAAGGCCCUAGGGUUGUAAAGCUCUUUCGCCAGGGACGAUAAUGACGGUACCUGGAUAAGAAGCCCCGGCUAACUUCGUGCCAGCAGCCGCGGUAAUACGAAGGGGGCUAGCGUUGUUCGGAAUCACUGGGCGUAAAGCGCACGUAGGCGGAUCUUUAAGUCAGGGGUGAAAUCCCGAGGCUCAACCUCGGAACUGCCUUUGAUACUGGAGGUCUCGAGUUCGGGAGAGGUGAGUGGAACUGCGAGUGUAGAGGUGAAAUUCGUAGAUAUUCGCAAGAACACCAGUGGCGAAGGCGGCUCACUGGCCCGAUACUGACGCUGAGGUGCGAAAGCGUGGGGAGCAAAACAGGAUUAGAUACCCUGGUAGUCCACGCCGUAAACGAUGGAUGCUAGCCGUUGGGGAGCUUGCUCUUCAGUGGCGCAGCUAACGCUUUAAGCAUCCCGCCUGGGGAGUACGGUCGCAAGAUUAAAACUUAAAGGAAUUGACGGGGUCAUAGCUGUUUCCUG